rnacentral:rRNA from 1 species
UACGGAGGGUGCAAGCGUUAUCCGGAUUUAUUGGGUUUAAAGGGUCCGUAGGCGGAUCAGUAAGUCAGUGGUGAAAUCCUGCAGCUCAACUGUAGAACUGCCAUUGAUACUGCUGAUCUUGAAUAUGGUUGAAGUGGGCGGAAUAUGACAUGUAGCGGUGAAAUGCUUAGAUAUGUCAUAGAACACCGAUAGCGAAGGCAGCUUGCUACACAAUCAUUGACACUGAGGCACGAAAGCGUGGGGAUCAAACAGG